GUGGGCGCGAGGUUGCCGGGGGGGGGAUGAGGAGGUGCGUACCGCAUGGGGGAGGGGACAGUCUCGGGUGAGAUCACCACGGAGCGGCUUAGCGCGGCGCACAAGUCUCGCGAGAGAAGCGGCGGCUGGGCCCUGCAGGCGGAGGAAGUGGAAAAAGUCGCGGGAGGGUAGGGGACCGCGGAACUUCUGGUUGCUAUGACGACGGCAAAGCCCUGGAUUCCUGUCUCCUGCGGAGAGCAGAGGCUGCAAACGCAUCCGCAGACGCCUUUAUACGUACUCCAAAAUGCUAGUAAGGAUGAAGAUGAACUCUCCUCAGCCCGUGUCUUUUAACUGUAGAAACUUUUCUGAGAAAUGAAAAGAGGCUUGCUCAUGACUUGGAAGCGGUGGGCUGAGGCCUCCCAAGACCAUCUGGCUUGUUCCAUUGCCAGCCAGAGUGGAGGCGACAUUCACACGAACCCAGGAGCUGCAGGGGCGCGUGAGCUACAGCUGCCUUGUGGCAUCCAAGGAGUGCGCAACUAGUCUCACUCUGUUGCCCAGGCUGGAGUGCAGUGGCGCGAUCUCAGCUUACUUCAGCCUCCGCCUCCCGGUUUCAAGUGAAUUCUCCAGCCUCAACUUCACAAGUAGCUGGGAUUACAGCCACUUUUUAUCUUCUCUCCUGCAAUCCAACCCACAUAAUUUCCAUGAAGAAAGCGGAGUGGUGUCAUUUUACAACAAGAAAACUGAGUUAAGAAUAAGUCCAAUCAAUUGCUAGGUGUUGAGACUGAAAUGGAAGUCUCUUAGUACUCCACCCAAGGAUUUUCAUAUUAAACAAUUAUCU
rnacentral:lncRNA from 10 species